rnacentral:rRNA from 1 species
UACAGAGGUCUCAAGCGUUGUUCGGAUUUACUGGGCGUAAAGAGCGCGUAGGCGGAGAUCUAAGCGUGGCCUGAAAGCCCCCGGCUCAACCGGGGAGUGCGGCUGCGAACUGGGUUUCUUGAGGACGAUAGAGGAGAGUGGAAUUCCUGGUGUAGCGGUGAAAUGCGUAGAUAUCAGGAGGAACACCCGAGGCGAAGGCGGCUCUCUGGGUCGUACCUGACGCUGAGGCGCGAAAGCGUGGGGAGCGAACGGG